CCUACGGGGUGCAGCAGUGGGGAAUAUUGCACAAUGUGGGAAACCCUGAUGCAGCGACGCCGCGUGAGCGAUGAAGUAUUUCGGUAUGUAAAGCUCUAUCAGCAGGGAAGAAAAUGACGGUACCUGACUAAGAAGCCCCGGCUAACUAAGGGCCAGCAGCCGCGGUAAUACGUAGGGGGCAAGCGUGAUCCGGAUUUACUGGGGGUAAAGGGAGCGUAGACGGCGGUGCAAGCCAGAUGUGAAAGCCUGGGGCUCCACCCCGGGACUGCAUUUGGAAGUGUGCUGCUAGAGUGUCGGAGAGGCAGGCGGAAUUCCUAGUGUAGCGGUGAAAUGCGUAGAUAUUAGGAGGAACCCCAGUGGCGAAGGCGGCCUGCUGGACGAUGACUGACGUUGAGGCUCGAAAGCGUGGGGAGCAAACAGGAUUAGAUACCCCAGUAGUC
rnacentral:rRNA from 1 species